CGGACAUGAUGUCAAACCGCCAUCCUGACCUGCUGUGGAGGGAAAAGACUGAUUUAAUGAGGCUGAUCC
rnacentral:snoRNA from 1 species